rnacentral:rRNA from 1 species
UACAGAGGGUGCGAGCGUUAAUCGGAAUUACUGGGCGUAAAGCGUGCGUAGACGGUUACGUAAGUCGGAUGUGAAAGCCCCGGGCUCAACCUGGGAAUUGCAUUCGAGACUGCGUAGCUAGGAUGCGGAAGAGGGAAGCGGAAUUUCCGGUGUAGCGGUGAAAUGCGUAGAUAUCGGAAGGAACACCAGUGGCGAAAGCGGCUUCCUGGUCCAGCAUCGACGUUCAGGCACGAAAGCGUGGGGAGCAAACAGG